rnacentral:rRNA from 1 species
AUUGAACGCUGGCGGCAUGCCUUACACAUGCAAGUCGAACGGCAGCACGGGAGCAAUCCUGGUGGCGAGUGGCGAACGGGUGAGUAAUAUAUCGGAACGUGCCCAGUCGUGGGGAUAACGUAGCGAAAGCUACGCUAAUACCGCAUACGAUCUAUGGAUGAAAGCGGGGGAUCGCAAGACCUCGCGCGAUUGGAGCGGCCGAUAUCAGAUUAGGUAGUUGGUGAGGUAAAGGCUCACCAAGCCGACGAUCUGUAGCUGGUCUGAGAGGACGACCAGCCACACUGGGACUGAGACACGGCCCAGACUCCUACGGGAGGCAGCAGUGGGGAAUUUUGGACAAUGGGCGCAAGCCUGAUCCAGCAAUGCUGCGUGCAGGAUG